UGGGGGAUCGUCUAACGGCAGGACGUAGGACUCUGACUCCUACUAUCUAGGUUCGAAUCCUAGUCCCCCAACCA
rnacentral:tRNA from 1 species